CAGCUGCAUCAUCAAAGGCUCAGCCAAUCCCGGGCCAGGGAGACAAGAUUCAAAUUCUAACAGUGGAACAGACUCUACUUAACUCCUUACAGGAGCACAGGUUUCUCAGAUUUAUUCUUUGGGGCGGGAACCCAUAAGUUUCCCUCUCUGAUGAGGAUGAACAAUAAAAUGCCUCUGUCUUUAUCUUCAGCUGCUUUGGAUCAGCAAAGAAAAUUUUCAACUCAUAUCUUGAUGGAAAGUGGAAUUGCAACAGCUAUCAAAGUAUAAGAAAUAUGUUAGGUAGUGUGAGAGGAGGCUACAAACCUCCAUUAUGAGACAUCUUACCAGAUCUACUGAAAAGUUGCUUUUAUCAUCAAGAGCAGGAUCUGUGUUGUUUUUAAUGACAUUACAUGUUUUAAUUGUUUAAGUUUUACAUUGAUGUGAUCAAUGUUUAUGAAUUGUAUUAAUUAUGUUUGUUCGAUUUUCUUUUUAAGUUCUGUGAUCUGUACUUUUGGAUUUGUUUGUUUGAUUUAAUUCUUGAUUUGGAGUGUGAUUGAUACCAUGUAUACUGCUUUUUGUGUUGUGAGCCACCCCGGGUCCCCUUGGGGAGAAGGGGUGGGACAUAAAAUUUAUUAUUAUUAUUAUUAUUAUUAUUAUUAUUAUUAUUAUUAUGUAUUUAUUUUAAAAGUUGCUAAUUUGUUUAGUUUAUGUGCUGCUUACUUGGCUAGAAGCAAUCAUUGCUCUGAUUUGGAAUAACUAGAACUGCACCCUGAAUGUUCAUACCUUUUGUUCACGCCAUAAGAACAACACUAAACUGUCUCUAAAAUGUGAUGUUCCCAUAGGAGGAGGAAGAGUAAGAGAGAAUACAAUGACAGAUAUUCUGCUUUUGCAGAAAAAUAGCAAAGAAGUAGACUCAUCAACCUCUCAAGCUUCCCUGGAUGAGACCUGACAGGCACCUUUGACUUCACUUUACUGGGGAGCAUUAUUUUGUCUUUGGAUACAGUUUUUAACAUUCAUCAACAUGAUUGGUAUAUAAAUAUGUGAUAACAUAUUUAAAAAAUUAACUAACAUUAUUUUCAAGAUUCAGAAUAGGGAUGAAUUAUCAAAUAAAAUUAUUUUAAGUAUA